rnacentral:rRNA from 1 species
AUGUCCCUACGGGAGGCAGCAGUGGGGAAUAUUGCACAAUGGGGGGAACCCUGAUGCAGCGACGCCGCGUGAGUGAAGAAGUAUUUCGGUAUGUAAAGCUUUAUCAGCAGGGAAGAAAAUGACGGUACCUGAGUAAGAAGCCCCGGCUAACUACGUGCCAGCAGCCGCGGUAAUACGUAGGGGGCAAGCGUUAUCCGGCUUUACUGGGUGUAAAGGUAGCGUAGACGGCGAUGCAAGUCUGAAGUGAAAGCCGGGGGCUCACCCCCGGUACUGCUUUGGAACCUGCAUGGCU